rnacentral:misc_RNA from 1 species
UUUAUAUAUUGCUUGUUUUUCUCUGACUGUACAUAAUUCAUGAGUUUAUGACUCCGGCAAGCACACAUCGAUAUCGAAAUACGUUUCGAUGUCAAUGGCUGUUUCCAACGUCUUGCCGAAGCAACGCGGUAUAAUCAAGGGUGGGAGUUCCUGCAGAGCAGGAGAACUCGGUAAUGAUCCUUCCGCAGGUUCACCUACGGAAA